GAGUACCUGGCACAGGAUAGAGGCACAAACUCAGGGCAUUUCCCAUCUCUCUCCCGUGAGCAGAUCGCCAGGGCUGUGGCAGAGCUGCCAGAGGUGUAAGGGAGGUCCCAGCUCAGCUCCAUCCUGAGAACUGCCAGCCAGGGGCCAGCUGAUUCAGCGAUGAUCCCGUGCACCCGGGAGACAACAGGCAGUUCGGCCUCAGUCUCCACAUCCAUAAAAAUGGGAGGAUGGCAGCUCCUAUCCAUGGCGAGGACCCAGAGAGGCUGGCUGACAAGCAUUCUUGACCACAUUUUACAGACGAGGAAACCAAGGCCUGGAGGUUAAAGGGACCUGCCCAUGGAUGCACGGGGAGUUUGGGGGCAGAGAUGGGACUAGAACUCAUAUCUCCUGCCCCUCAGCCUGGUGAUGAUACCACUCUGUGGAAGAAGAGACACCCCUGCCCUCCCCUCGAGCCCAGAUG
rnacentral:lncRNA from 1 species